ACCUCGAUGUCGGCUCAUCGCAUCCUGGGGCUGUAGUCGGUCCCAAGGGUUGGGCUGUUCGCCCAUUAAAGCGGUACGCGAGCUGGGUUCAGAACGUCGUGAGACAGUUCGGUCCCUAUCCGUCGUGGGCGUAGGAAAUUUGAGAGGAGCUGUCCUUAGUACGAGAGGACCGGGAUGGACAUACCUCUGGUGUACCAGUUGUCGUGCCAACGGCAUAGCUGGGUAGCUAUGUAUGGACGGGAUAAGUGCUGAAAGCAUCUAAGCAUGAAGCCCCCCUCAAGAUGAGAUUUCCCAACUUCGGUUAUAAGAUCCCUCGAAGAUGACGAGGUUAAUAGGUUCGAGGUGGAAGCGUGGUGACACGUGGAGCUGACGAAUACUAAUCGAUCGAAGACUUAAUCAA
rnacentral:rRNA from 1 species